UACAGAGGGUGCAAGCGUUAAUCGGAAUUACUGGGCGUAAAGCGUGCGUAGACGGUUACAUAAGUCGGGUGUGAAAGCCCCGGGCUCAACCUGGGAAUUGCAUUCGAGACUGCGUAGCUAGGGUGCGGAAGAGGGAAGCGGAAUUUCCGGUGUAGCGGUGAAAUGCGUAGAUAUCGGGAGGAACACCAGUGGCGAAGGCGACUAUCUGGGCUUUAACUGACGCUGAGGAGCGAAAGCGUGGGGAGCGAACAGG
rnacentral:rRNA from 1 species